rnacentral:rRNA from 1 species
UACGGGGGGGGCAAGCGUUGUUCGGAAUUACUGGGCGUAAAGGGCUCGUAGGCGGCCAACUAAGUCAGACGUGAAAUCCCUCGGCUUAACCGGGGAACUGCGUCUGAUACUGGAUGGCUUGAGUUUGGGAGAGGGAUGCGGAAUUCCAGGUGUAGCGGUGAAAUGCGUAGAUAUCUGGAGGAACACCGGUGGCGAAGGCGGCAUCCUGGACCAACACUGACGCUGAGUGAGCGAAAGCCAGGGGAGCAAGCGGG